UGCACUAGAUCCUAGAGACUGGGUGGACCUCUUUCUUAAUGUCCAGUGUCCUUUGUCUUAAGAUUUGGUGCA